rnacentral:rRNA from 1 species
AUUGAACGCUGGCGGCAUGCCUUACACAUGCAAGUCGAACGGCAGCACGGGAGCAAUCCUGGUGGCGAGUGGCGAACGGGUGAGUAAUAUAUCGGAACGUGCCCAGUAGUGGGGGAUAACUGCUCGAAAGAGCAGCUAAUACCGCAUACGACCUGAGGGUGAAAGGGGGGGAUCGCAAGACCUCUCGCUAUUGGAGCGGCCGAUAUCAGAUUAGCUAGUUGGUGGGGUAAAGGUCUACCAAGGCAACGAUCUGUAGUUGGUCUGAGAGGACGACCAGCCACACUGGGACUGAGACACGGCCCAGACUCCUACGGGAGGCAGCAGUGGGGAAUAUUGGACAAUGGGCGCAAGCCUGAUCCAGCAAUGCCGCGUGGAUGAAGAAGGUCUUCGGAUUGUAAAGUCCUUUCGACGGGGACGAUGAUGACGGUACCCGUAGAAGAAGCCCCGGCUAACUUCGUGCCAGCAGCCG